GAGUGGGCGAUACUUGAAUACGCUUUCCCCAUCAGAUAUUCAGAUAUUAGUGAUAAAGCGAGAAAGCGGUGAAAUGAGGAGAGAGGUCACCUGUCCUGCAUAUGGAUCACAUCACAAUUCAGCGGAGAGGACAAGAGCCUCAACCACAGCGCUACCUUGCAGAUACUAAUUUAUUCACAUGCCCCUUCUGCACAUCUCAAAUAUGUAAACCCAGACAAUAUCAUCAAAUAGUGGCCCAUAUAGCUGGGCAUAAAAUAAGAGCAACUGAAUAUGGAGAUUAUGUUAUAUACAGCUGUGACCUUGGCUGUGGCCAAAAGGCCAAGCAUUUUCACUGCUGUCAUUGUCCACAGACCUACAUAAAUAAAGCUGCUAUAAAAAGGCAUCUUUGCAGUUUCCACCCGCUGCCCCCAGCAGGACCUGAUACACCACAACAAACUCCUUCGGUGCCCCCAGCAGGACCUGAUACACCACAACAAAC